rnacentral:rRNA from 1 species
UGAGUAACACGUGGGGAACCUGCCCCUAAGUCUGGGAUACCAUUUGGAAACAGGUGCUAAUACCGGAUAAUAAAGCAGAUCGCAUGAUCAGCUUUUGAAAGGCGGCGUAAGCUGUCGCUAAGGGAUGGCCCCGCGGUGCAUUAGCUAGUUGGUAAGGUAACGGCUUACCAAGGCGACGAUGCAUAGCCGAGUUGAGAGACUGAUCGGCCACAUUGGGACUGAGACACGGCCCAAACUCCUACGGGAGGCAGCAGUAGGGAAUCUUCCACAAUGGACGCAAGUCUGAUGGAGCAACGCCGCGUGAGUGAAGAAGGUUUUCGGAUCGUAAAGCUCUGUUGUUGGUGAAGAAGGAUAGAGGUAGUAACUGGCCUUUAUUUGACGGUAAUCAACCAGAAAGUCACGGCUAACUACGUGCCAGCAGCCGCGGUAAUACGUAGGUGGCAAGCGUUGUCCGGAUUUAUUGGGCGUAAAGCGAGCGCAGGCGGAAAAAUAAGUCUAAUGUGAAAGCCCUCGGCUUAACCGAGGAACUGCAUCGGAAACUGUUUUUCUUGAGUGCAGAAGAGGAGAGUGGAACUCCAUGUGUAGCGGUGGAAUGCGUAGGUAUAUGGAAGAAACACCAGUGGCGAAGGCGGCUCUCUGGUCUGCAACUGACGCCUGAGGCUC